rnacentral:rRNA from 1 species
UACGUAGGGUGCAAGCAUUAAUCGGAAUUAUUGGGCGUAAAGGGCGCGUAGGCGGAUGGGUAAGUCAGAUGUGAAAUUCCGGGGCUCAACCUCGGAGCUGCAUAUGAAACUGCAAAUCUGGAGGGUUGGCGGAGAAAACGGAAUUCCACGUGUAGCGGUGAAAUGCGUAGAUAUGUGGAAGAACACCGGUGGCGAAAGCGGUUUUCUAGCUAACACCUGACGCUGAGGCGCGAGAGCAAGGGGAGCAAACAGG